AUAAUUUCAGUUUCACUCUCACCAUUCAGUUUCAGUUCUACAAUUCAAUUUCAGUUCCAAAAUUCAGUUUUUUGGAACUUACUUCCGGUUCCGGUUCAAGAGUAAACGAGCGCAGAUUAAUAGAACUACGUUUUACCAGCGGGCCGAAAGUGUUACUGACGGGAAUCUACAGCGUCUUGAGCUGAAUUAAGACUUCAGAAGUCAUUCGUCAUGUCGAAUGACCAGCGGAUAAACUCUCAGGUGAAGAGCCUGAGGCCGGUGACAGUCCAGUUCUACUCCAAGUACAUCCUUACGGUGGCUCACAGGACAAGGCCACAUUCCUGUCCUGCCAGAAGAGAAGAGAAACUUCAGAGUCUUCAUGCAGUUCAACCACACCUGUCAUAUUCCAUAUGACAGGGGUCUCAAACUCCAGUCCUCGAGGGAUGCAUGCAACUUUUCCAUGUGUCCCUGGUGCAACACACCUGAAUACAAUUAGUAGGUCAUUAGCAAGAGUAUAGAACUUGACUGCAUGCUGAGGUGGCAACCCCUAACCCUACCUACUCAAGUAAAUUUAAGUAAAUAUAUGUAUUUGGAAACAUAUACUUCUAAAAUACUUUUAUUGCACCAUGUUCAUUCACUCAUGAGCUGCUGUAACGUGAAUCAAAUGGCUGAAUUGCCAACUCAGCAUGCAUUCAAGUUCUAUACUCUUGCUAAUGACCUACUAGGUGUGUUGCAACAGUGACACAUGGAAAAGUUGCAGGACAGCGGCCCUCGAGGACUGGAGUUUGAGACCCCUGCCGUAUGGUGUUCAUGCAGUUUUCUACCCCACAGUUACAGCAUGUCUGACUGCCUGUUCAGCAUAUGCAAAAAUAUAUGAGUUUAAGCAUGUGAUGACAAAGGCCUUCCAUUAUGGUGUUUGUCAUCACAUGUCACAGACAUCUGGAUGAUCAUUUGGAAUAAACAAAAAACUUGUUACUUCA